AAUCGAUGAUCCUCGAUACACCUCACCAUUUUUUGCUUUUUUCUCAGCCUGUAUACCUCCGUCGCAAGCUUACCAUUUGAAUGCUCUCAAAGUAGGUCCAAAUCAGGGGCCCCAAAACACGCCAAUACGUCAGGUCAAGGUGCAGCUCAUAAAAUGGAAAGCAAUGGGCUACAAUUUCUAAUAUAGAACAAACGAAAAACUACAUGAAACAUAGUCAUGAAGGCGGAUUUAGCAGUAAAAGAAGAUUAGAGAGCUUCUUUUAACAUAGCCCUGGGAUA
rnacentral:rRNA from 1 species